AACAGAUUCAUGUUCAGACUGAACUGAACAUAAACAGGUUCAUGUAAUCAGUCGAGUAAUUUUGUUGUUUAAUUACAAAUUACCUUAUUUUCCAGAGAUAAAGACAAACAAAGAUAAAACAUGGAUAAAUGAACCUUAAUAAUGAAUAUUUAAUAAGUAGCAGAAAAGUUAGAACAUUUUCCAGGUUGACCUGCAGAGAAACGUCCUGCCGUCGCCUCUCCGCGUUGUUAGAAUAUCACACCAAGUUUGAAGCUCCUUGUUUGUUAAAAUUAAUAUUUUUAGAGGCUCAUAAUGACAACUUCAGAGGAGAGGUUGGUGAACAUCCCACAAUCAAAGGAAGUGUGUCCCCGACCCGUUUCCUGUCUCACCCUUCUACUCCCCUAAUUGCCCACCUGUGGGCGUCCUAAUUAGCCCUAAUCAGGAAGAGGAGCUCACCGGAGACCGAGAAGGCUGGGCGAGAAAGCAGACACCACAGAAGAAGAAAGAGGGCCGUGCUGCAGAAUCAAGAUGUCAAGCGACGGCUGCAUGCAGAGAACCCAGCCUCACCUUUAUCCCGGACAUGAAAGAUGGCGUCCAACUGAUGUUUGUGGCCGUCGGAGUCGGACUGGAGCGGCUGACAGCUACGGCGCUGGAGCUGCCGCCGUUGCUCCGCGUUGCAUCACGCCUCGUCUUCGUUGGACUCCGACGGGUUGCUGCAGACUUGCAGAUAGAUUUAAAUGAGAUCCGUGGACUGACUGUUUGUGUUGCAGAACCGCAGGCUGUGUGUAAACACGGUGCUGGAUGUCGCCGUUCCGGCUGGAGCUGGAAUCCUUAUUUCACUUCGUUAAUUAAAGACAACGGAGAACCGGCUCAAACUUUCUGCCAGAGAGCGGACAGUUCUCAGCUCAAAGUAGCAAACGUUUUUCUGGUAUGAUGGAAUGUUAAUGCUGUUUACAUGCUAUUCCUGUUUUAGCUCAGAAUUAGCAAACAUAUUUCUAUCUGCUCACUAACUAGGAGUAAGAUUUUGUUUAGAUAAUUUGUGUCUGAGCUUUGAUUCCUUAGAUGUUCCUUCAAUAUUUCCAAAAGUGCACCGGUCCCUCCUGAAGCAAAUCCCCCCUCACAGCAUGAUUCUGCCACUCCCGUACAUUACAGUUAGGAUGGUGAGCAUCCCAGUUUUUCCUCCAAAUGUAACAAAACCUUUUAUGUCCAAACAGUUCAUUUUACUUUCAUCAGACCUCCAAACACUAUUUGAUCUGAAUUCGUUCCCAAACUGUAAUCUGACUUUUUUUGUUUUCGCGUUACGUAUCUUCAGUGUUAUCUGUGUUUUUAAUCCAGCUAGCUUGUGCAAAAAAUGGAACAAAUUGCACAUCUUUCUGAAUUUUCCCCAUAAUUUGAAACACUCAGAUGAGAAAUUUUAGUUUUGCCUUUAUUGCUGCUCAACUUUGUUUAUGUUAACUGUUUUCUUGUUAAACUGAAACCUACGCACCUGACUGGGUCUCACAACUUUCAUCUGUUGCUCUUUAAUUAAAAAAAGGUGUUUAUGUUGUUUACUCAGUUAUGCUAACAUCUCAAAAUAACACCUCUGAAUAUGUUUC